rnacentral:rRNA from 1 species
CCCUUAGAUGUUCUGGGCCGCACGCGCGCUACACUGACGAAGUCAGCGAGCAUGUCCUACGCCGACAGGUGCGGGGAAUCUUGUCAAACUUCGUCAUGAUGGGGAUUGAUUAUUGAAAUUCUUGAUCAUCAACGAGGAAUUCCUAGUAAGCGCAAGUCAGCAGCUUGCGUUGAUUACGUCCCUGCCCUUUGUACACACCGCCCGUCGCUACUACCGAUUGAAUGGUUUAGUGAGAUCUUCGGAUUGGCGCCACUGCGGCUCAGCAAUGGGCUCGGUGGAUGCCGAAAAGUUGAUCAAACUUGAUCAUUUAGAGGAAGUAAAAGUCGUAACA